AGAGUUUGAUCCUGGCUCAGAGCGAACGCUGGCGGCACGCCUAACACAUGCAAGUCGAGCGAGAAAGUGACUUCGGUCGCGAGUAAAGCGGCGAACGGGUGAGUACAACGUGGAUAAUCUACCCUAGGGUCUGGGACAACCCCGAGAAAUCGGGGCUAAUACCGGAUAAGACCACAGUAUCCAAGGAUACAGCGGUAAAAGAUUUAUCGCCCUUGGAUGAGUCCACGCCCCAUCAGGUAGUUGGUAAGGUAAAGGCUUACCAAGCCUAAGACGGGUAGCCGGCCUUAGCGGGUGAACGGCCACAUGGGGACUGAGACACGGCCCUGACUCCUACGGGAGGCAGCAGUGGGGAAUAUUGGGCAAUGGGCGAAAGCCUGACCCAGCGAUGCCGCGUGAGGGAUGAAGGCCUUCGGGUUGUAAACCUCUGUCAGGAGGGACGAUGGGACACUUGUGUCUUGACGGUACCUCCAGA
rnacentral:rRNA from 1 species